UGAAUUGCAGAAUUCAGUGAAUCAUCGAAUCUUUGAACGCACAUUGCGCCCCUUGGUAUUCCGAGGGGCAUGCCUGUUCGAGCGUCAUUA
rnacentral:rRNA from 1 species